UCUUGGUGUUCUAUUUUCCAUCAAAAGGCAUCAACACGGUACUUGUAGCCAGAAUAGAUUAGAGAAAAGAAACGAGAACAGGAAUGUUUAUUCUCAACGACUAAACAGUAAUUAAGAAGGAACAGGGUAGCAUUGCUGUCAGUUGCGGGGUGAUAGUGGAGCAGUGGCAUCAAAGCAAGGGCGGUUGUUAGCAAGGAGUUGAUGAGACCGGUGGCAAGAAGGUAUUUGGAAGGCUUUUGCAACUGCCUGCCCUACUAAGUAUGAAACACGCUGGUCCGAGACACCUGACAACCAACAUGUCUUGACUGCCCUGCUGCAGUGAUGCCAGAGGCCAACCGUACGGGAGCCUGGGGAGAGGAUGUACGGAAGCACCGUAAACACCUUGCAACGUUUUGAAACCUCUUCCAGAGCCAAUCAGCAUCGCUAAUGGGCCAGUCUCUUUCCAGCCCUGGGACGUCAAACCGAGCCAACGUUAUUAGCUUUCAAAAAUCAAAGGAGUCAAGACCUGUCUCCCCGGAUGGGCCCCGCCUCUCUCAGCUUCCUGGAUGUGCAGCCUUGAUUAGCACACUCUCCUAAUCAUAAGGCCUCCUUUGAACACACGGCUUUAUUCCUAGAACACCAACGGCCGUUGAUGGUAUCGCUGGACUCCGUGGCUACAGGUGGGUAUUUCCAGCGUGAACACCAGCGGUCUGUUCAAAGGGAACGUGCUUAAUAGUAUUUAAUAGAAGCUGUACAUUGUGAUGGAUCCAUAAAAGGAUGCAUCUCAUUUCCUGCUCAUUAAUUGAAACUCCUGAAGCCCCAAAGAAUAUCUGGUAUGGAUGAAAAAUGGACAGAACCCUCCUACUUGGAAACCUCUGUGUUCCCCUCUCCGCCCAGAGACCAUACUUGGUCCACGGAGUCUCUAUUAAAUCUAAUUUCUCCAGGCCGAUCUUGAGGUCGGGGAGGCCGGCCCGGUGACGUGGAAGCUAGUCACCUACACCUCCCUUCGUGGAAAAAAGACUUUUCUAAAUUCGAGCCAUCCUCUUAGACUUCUAUGUCUUUGACCGGUUGGCCACUGCACAUUCAUGUCUUUAGUAGGUUCAAGAAUGCAUGCAUUUCACCCCCAGAUGUGGAAACAUGCAUGACUCUUCUUCAUAGUUGAAAAUCCAAAGAGCAGGGGCACCGGGAUGGCUCAGCGGUUGAGCGUCACCGGGGUCAUGACCCCGGGGUCCUAGGAUCGAGUCCUGCAUGGACCCUGCUUCUCCCUUUGCCCGUGUCUCUGUAUCUCUCAUGAAUAAAUAA